GCAAGUCGAACGAUGAUCCAGGAGCUUGCUCUUGGGGAUUAGUGGCGAACGGGUGAGUAACACGUGAGCAAUCUGCCCUUCACUCUGGGAUAACCUCCGGAAACGGAAGCUAAUACCGGAUAUGACGCACGGAGGCAUCUCCUGUGCGUGGAAAGAACUUCGGUGAAGGAUGAGCUCGCGGCCUAUCAGGUAGUUGGUGAGGUAACGGCCCACCAAGCCUACGACGGGUAGCCGGCCUGAGAGGGUGACCGGCCACACUGGGACUGAGACACGGCCCAGACUCCUACGGGAGGCAGCAGUGGGGAAUAUUGCACAAUGGGCGCAAGCCUGAUGCAGCAACGCCGCGUGAGGGACGACGGCCUUCGGGUUGUAAACCUCUUUUAGUAGGGAAGAAGCGAAAGUGACGGUACCUGCAGAAAAAGCACCGGCUAACUACGUGCCAGCAGCCGCGGUAAUACGUAGGGUGCAAGCGUUGUCCGGAAUUAUUGGGCGUAAAGAGCUCGUAGGCGGUUUGUCGCGUCUGCUGUGAAAACCCGAGGCUCAACCUCGGGCCUGCAGUGGGUACGGGCAGACUAGAGUGCGGUAGGGGAGAAUGGAAUUCCUGGUGUAGCGGUGGAAUGCGCAGAUAUCAGGAGGAACACCGAUGGCGAAGGCAGUUCUCUGGGCCGUAACUGACGCUGAGGAGCGAAAGCGUGGGGAGCGAACAGGAUUAGAUACCCUGGUAGUCCACGCCGUAAACGUUGGGCGCUAGAUGUGGGGACCAUUCCACGGUUUCCGUGUCGCAGCUAACGCAUUAAGCGCCCCGCCUGGGGAGUACGGCCGCAAGG
rnacentral:rRNA from 1 species